GGGGGAUAUUGCACAAUGGGGGAAACCCUGAUGCAGCGACGCCGCGUGAGUGAAGAAGUAUUUCGGUAUGUAAAGCUCUAUCAGCAGGGAAGAUAAUGACGGUACCUGACUAAGAAGCCCCGGCUAACUAC
rnacentral:rRNA from 1 species